UCCAGCCUGAAAGCACAAAGGGAGUGAGGUCUUCCUGGGAUACCCCAUGUAGUUCGCAGGUCUUCCGGGCCCAGAAUUCCAGGACUUGUCACCUUCUGAAGGAGUGGCUUCCUUCUGAAGGGCAGGUUCCCUGAGAGCCUGGUUCUGAGGAUGAGGAUAUAGUGAGGAUAUUCAUUUGGGUGUGUUCUUGGGUCAACACCAGGGCAAGAGAAGGGAGGCAAUCAGGGAGACGUGGGCUGUGAGUCAGUCUCCAUGGAGGCCUCAGCCGACUCUGUGGGAUGAUCCUGUAGAGCUGUUUAAAGGAGUUGGGAUGAGGGUCUGGGCCUUUAUACCUCAACAAUGGCCAGUCAUCGGGUGCAGGCCUCCCCAGGAAGGAGAUGUGGCCUUGGGUGAGACAGCUGUCACUGGCAGAGGCUGUCUCUGUAACCGGUUGCCAGGGACAUUCCCCAUGGCCUGAAAAUGACCACCUGAGGCCUGGGUCCUGGGAUUUUCUUCCCAGAGGUCGGAAGUUUUGCUGGGAAGAGAGUCCUGGUUCCAUUCUCCCAGGCCUUGUGCUCUGGGGUUUCUGCCAGGUGUGGGAUGCUGAUUGUCUUCUCUGGGUCUCUGUGUCCUCAGUCUACCCUGUGGGGUGAAUCACUCCUGUCCUGCCUGUUCUGAGGCACAGGAAGUGAAAAGACCCUGACUUCUGUGAAGGGCUCUGCAGGGCUCUGCAUUCAUGCCCCUCCUGCUGUCAGAGCUGUUCUGUCCCUGUGGAGGAGGGCAGCCCUUCAAGUAAAAGGUUAUUCUUCUCAACUAAGUCCUGGCUCCAGGAGGGAAGGAGGUGGAAACCUUCUUGGGACUCUAGAGAGCAAACCCCUUGGAGGCAGCCCAGGUUUGACAGGUGAAGUCUGAUGGGACCAUGGAGCCUCAGCUCAUAGGUGGUCCCAUCAGUGAGCUAGAAUUAAUCAGGCCCUGGCUUACCUGAUACAGAAGAGGCACAGGACAUUCCUGCAAAGAACUCCUGGAAACAGAGGUGAAUGAAGCUGUAGCUCAGAGGGAUGGGGUGCUCUUGAAGAAUACCC